rnacentral:rRNA from 1 species
AGCAUGUGCGCGAGUCAUUGGGACAAACCUAAAGGCGCAAUGAAAGUGAAGGUCCGCCUAGGACCGAGGGAGGAUGGGCCCGCCACCGGGCCCCGCACUCCCGGGGCGUCUCGUUCUCAUCGCGAGAGGAGGCGCACCCAGAGCGUACACGCUGGGACCCGAAAGAUGGUGAACUAUGCCUGGUCAGGACGAAGUCAGGGGAAACCCUGAUGGAGGUCCGUAGCGAUUCUGACGUGCAAAUCGAUCGUCGGAACUGGGUAUAGGGGCGAAAGACUAAUCGAACCAUCUAGUAGCUGGUUCCCUCCGAAGUUUCCCUCAGGAUAGCUGGCGCUCGCCGCGCGCGAGUCUCAUCCGGUAAAGCGAAUGAUUAGAGGCAUUGGGGUCGAAACGGCCUCAACCUAUUCUCAAACUUUAAAUGGGUGAGAUCUCCGGCUUGCUCGAACUGUGAAGCCGCGAGAUUUCGGAUCAGAGUGCCAAGUGGGCCACUUUUG